GAUGGAAGUGGGAGUGGAAGUGGAAGUGGGAGUGGAAGUGGGAGUGGAAGAGGGCAUGGUGGUGGUGGUGGAAGGAAGCAUGGUGGUGGUGGUAGUGGAAUAGAAAAACAAGGUAAAGGUGCUAGAGGUACUGG